GGCGCAGACGGUUGAUUAAGUCUGAUGUGAAAGCCCGGAGCUCAACUCCGGAAUGGCAUUGGAAACUGGUUAACUUGAGUGCAGUAGAGGUAAGUGGAACUCCAUGUGUAGCGGUGGAAUGCGUAGAUAUAUGGAAGAACACCAGUGGCGAAGGCGGCUUACUGGACUGUAACUGACGUUGAGGCUCGAAAGUGUGGGUAGCAAACA
rnacentral:rRNA from 1 species